GAUGAACGCUGGCGGCGUGCCUAAUACAUGCAAGUCGAACGCAUAGCGAAAGGUGCUUGCACCUUUCAAGUGAGUGGCGAACGGGUGAGUAACACGUGGACAACCUGCCUCAAGGCUGGGGAUAACAUUUGGAAACAGAUGCUAAUACCGAAUAAAACUUAGUGUCGCAUGACACAAAGUUAAAAGGCGCUUCGGCGUCACCUAGAGAUGGAUCCGCGGUGCAUUAGUUAGUUGGUGGGGUAAAGGCCUACCAAGACAAUGAUGCAUAGCCGAGUUGAGAGACUGAUCGGCCACAUUGGGACUGAGACACGGCCCAAACUCCUACGGGAGGCUGCAGUAGGGAAUCUUCCACAAUGGGCGAAAGCCUGAUGGAGCAACGCCGCGUGUGUGAUGAAGGCUUUCGGGUCGUAAAGCACUGUUGUAUGGGAAGAACAGCUAGAAUAGGAAAUGAUUUUAGUUUGACGGUACCAUACCAGGAAGGGACGGCUAAAUACGUG
rnacentral:rRNA from 1 species